rnacentral:rRNA from 1 species
AGCACCACAACGGGUGGAGCUUGCGGUUUAAUCGGACUCAACGCCGGGAAACUCACCAGAUAAGACAGCUGAAUGAUAGUCGGGCUGAAGACUCUACUUGACUAGCUGAGAGGAGGUGCAUGGCCGUCGUCAGUUCGUACUGUGAAGCAUCCUGUUAAGUCAGGCAACGAGCGAGACCCACGCCAACAGUUGCCAGCUCGUCCUCCGGGAUGGUGGGGACACUGUUGGGACCGCCUCUGCUAAAGAGAAGGAAGGAAUGGGCAACGGUAGGUCAGCAUGCCCCGAAUUAUCUGGGCUACACGCGGGCUACAAUGGGUGGGACAAUGGGUAUCGACACCGAAAGGUGAAGGCAAUCUCCUAAACCCAUCCGUAGUUCGGAUUGUGGGCUGCAACUCGCCCACAUGAAGCUGGAAUCUGUAGUAAUCGUGUCUCAAAAUGGCACGGUGAAUAUGUCCCUGCUCCUU